ACAAUUUAGAAAAUUUUCGAAGCUCUAACACUACUAUAAACAUAAUGCAGUUUCUUCGUCUGAAUUUCAUACUUAUUUUGUCAGUAAUAUUUGUUAUUGACUCUGCCUUUGUAAUGGGAGACCUUUCAGGAUUGACGGAAGCUACCUUCGAUAAAAAUGAGGAACUUGUAGAAUAGUUUUCCCAAAGCUGGAAUCGCCUAAUUGUACUCAGGGAUAUGGAAAAACUGGGAACAAUAAGCAGUUGAAAUAUUGUAUUACUGCUUUUGGAAAGUAAUAAAAUUGUACUUAAAAUUUUAAAAAAAA